AUAAAGCUGGAAUUGAUGAAACCCUUUCAGAGUUUGAAACUCUGAAAGGGUUAGAUGAAAACCGCAUCUUU
rnacentral:misc_RNA from 1 species